CCUUCAUGGGACUGCGGAGACAUUA
rnacentral:rRNA from 1 species